GCCCGGAUGGUGUAGCCUGGAUAACACGCUGGCCUGUGGAGCCAGUGAACCCGGGUUCAAAUCCCGGUCCGGGCC
rnacentral:tRNA from 1 species